UUCUUCAGGGCAGGGUGCAAUUCCCGACCGGCGGUAGAGCCCGCGAGCGACCUUUCGCUGAUUCGUUGUAAUUACGAAGCCGACAGUAAAGUCUGGAUGAAAGAAGAU
rnacentral:ncRNA from 1 species